rnacentral:lncRNA from 1 species
AAAUAUUACAGAAAUUUUAUUUAUAUCACAACUGAACAAAAGUCCCACUUAUUUAUUUUUAACUUGUUACACACACACACACACACACACACACACACACACUUUACAUAUAUAUCUCACAAAGCUCUAGGGACGGGGCGGUGAGAGCCCUCAAGGUUGGGGUUCAACCUUUUUUUAUACUAUACAUAUAUAUAUAUGUAAAAAGUAGGUGGAACGGGUAGUUUGGAGCUUAAUUAAGUUGAGAUGCAGUGUCGUAUGCAGCUCCAGCCUUCCAAUCCAUAGGAAUGGCACGGGUUAAUUGUACCGAAUUAACUUCAUACGGGAUGGCAUAAUAAAUUCUAACGCGAAGAGAUCCGAUGGGUGGAUUUGAAAUGUCGAAUACCGUUCCAUACGCCCUACGCAUUGGCCUCCAUUUCUGGCUAUUCUCCUUUGUUCAUUAGCAGAAAUAGUACAAUGUCAGUGAUCAUUGAAAAGAAUAUUUAGUUGUGCUUAAAAAUUACUUUUUUUAGAAAUUACGUCUUCUGCUAGUCAAACAAGUAAUUUCGGAAACGUGUUUGACAAAAUAAGUAACUUAAAGGUAAGCCCCUAAUAGGUUUAGAUGAAAAUCAGAUUAUUAGUAGAUUUUUGAUAAAAAUUGAUGCAAUAUGUAGUUAAAAAGUUUUAGGUUCCAUGAAAUAUGUGAUUAAAAUUAAUUGUUAUUUUUUUACUAAGGUUUUAAUCUAAUUUUUCGGUUGAAUCAAGCAGGGACUAAGUUUGACCUACUUUUUAAUCUUUAAAUAACUUAUGGUACUUUAGUACUAAUGAAAUUCUGUAUGCUUACUUUUUAGCUUGUAAUAUUUGAGAAAAGUAUAUUGCUUUGGUUGAAUGGAAAUGUAAUAGUGACCUAUUUUGAAGAAUUGAAAUUUAGUGGUCUACUUCAAAUUGAGACUUCUAAGUUGAAGAAGCAAAUAAAAAAAUAAAAAAUAAAAAAGAACUUCUAAUUUGAAGAAGAAAAAAAAAGAACGUUUUUAGAAAGUAAAUAGAAAAUGUUUGUCUAAAAGGUAAGUUUCUAAACAAAAUAUUUCAAAACAAAAGUAAUUUCUAUCAAGUUCAAACAUAUUUAUAAGAAGAUUAAUGUUAUACAUAAUGAAAAUUAUUGAUAGUCAUCCUACAUGACAUACGCAUGAUAUCACUUAUAAGAAAAAUACCUUUAACGAACUUUUAAACUUUGGAAAACACGAUGGCAUAAAAACUUCAUGCUCAUGACGUAGAAAAAGGAAGAGUUUUGUUAGAGGAUAUACCAGUCCGAUGUCUAUACCAGUGAUAUCAGACAUUCCAUCUUUGUAUAUAGGGGCCAGGGCCAAGUAGGAAGGGUAAUUGCUAUUCUCAUGGAUUCUUAGCUCAAGGUUGCGAUUAUAACUACAUGGAACUCUUCUGUAUUCAAUGUCAACUACACCAUAAGCAAGUAGUUGUGGAGCCAUAUUGGGUCGAGCCAUUUUUUCGUAGCCACGCUUGCUCAUUAUGAAGUCUGUUCUGUCUCCCUCGCCAUAAUCCGUUACCACGACCUUUGCUCCCUCCCUGCUGCAGUAUUUUGGGAUUUUGCACUUUACCUAAUCGAGUCAUUGAAUGUUAGGCAUCAGCUUAUGGGAGAAAAUUGUGAUACUAAUAGCUCCAAACAUGGUCCCCAAGAGAUUCUAUAAAGCACGAACUUCUUUUUCAUUUCAUUUUUUUUUAAAUUUAUUUAAAGAAGAAAUUGCCUUACCAGAUAGCAAGCUCCACAACCACUUCCACCACUGUAAAGCCUAGAGACACCCGCGACUUCACCAUUGUUGACGGUCUUUCCAAACUCUCCAAACCCACAGGCUCCGGCUGGUAAAAUUAUGAGAAGCUCAUUUGAAUUAGUUAUCAUCACACUGAAUAAUCCAAACUACUAUAUUACUAUCUACUAUGCUAGUGGUAUUAUUAAUAUUAUGAUUCCGUACUGUUGACUGAGUCAAAAUAUCUUGAAUAAGUAAAAUAUUUGGUAAAAAAAAUUGAAAAUCACUUAACUCUUUUGUACACAAAAUUUAGAAAUGGGUGAUGGCGAUUGCGAUAGCGAUGGGGGUGGGUGAUGGUCAUUUUUGUAGUCAUGUGGGCUUGAUAGUAGUACAAAUCUGGUGGCAAGUUGAGAUAGUAUUGAUCUAGUGGUGACCGAGGGUGGUUAUCGUGAGAUGGCUGGAAGUGAAAAUUUGAUGGUGACAUUGUAGAUUGUUGUCAAUGGUUGUAAUGGUGGUGGUGGAAAUAGGCAGCCCCAACGACAACGUUGAUAAUCACCACAGUGAUGAAAACAUGCAGCGGAAUAGACAUAAAAUUGUGUUACAAAAAGUGUAGCACAUAUUUUACACAAAAAAUAAUAAUAAAAUAAAUUAAAAAAGUAAAAUAGUUGUGCAAAAAAAUAAAAUAUCAUAAAGAAGAGGGGAAAGGGAAAACGAGAGCACCACAUACUUGCAGUUCCUAGGCCUUCGGGACUACCGUAAUAGCUUGCUCUCGAUUUUUGAAAUCCUUGGCCAUAACAAGUUGCUGCCAACAGCAAUAUCAUAGGAAAAAAGAAGAAAUAAGAACCCAUUUUUCAGACAGCUCCAGUUCUUGAAGGGGACGAGGGAUACACAAAAGCUGGAUUUUAGAUGCCGUAUUUAUAGCAGAACGGGAGCACGCACUCAGAAUUAAUGAUUUUAAUAUCUACGAUUUUUCUCCCACUAUGGACUAAUGGUGUAAUGGAAAGCUAAAAACUACCGACAUUGAAAAUUGACUUCUUAAGACUAUAUCGUUACUGCUAAGGGUGAAACUUACAUCUUCACGCAUACGUACAACAUUUAACGGCUUGAAUCAUUCCUCUUAACAGUAUAAAUAUUUUCCAAUGGAACCUCAAAAUUAUGUAAUUUACUUAUUAGAACCUAAGAAGCUCAAAUGUGGAAUUUUAUCGGUUAAAAGCUCAAAUCAGCAAUCCAAUUUCAAAUUAAUAGUAAAAAAUAAGCUACGAUUUUUUGGGAACUUGCAACAUAUUACAGUAGUUUACACCUGAACAAGAGGAAAUUGCAAAGGAAGUGGUGCCAUAAGGGGCGGGGAAAAUGAACGUCCCUGCAAUAUUUUUAUUUUUUAAAAAUACAUGUAAUACACAUAAUAUUUGUAUAUCGUCUUUUCAUAAUUUUUUCACCCCGAAAGUGAUAAUCCAACUCCACCACUGGAAAAGAACAACGUCAUAGAAUGAAGAGCUUGUGUCUUUAACAUUCUUUUUUUAAAUUUGGUUGUGUUUAAAUUAUAAAUUAAGAAGCAGGUUUCUCGAAAUGUGUGAAUAAAAACUAAGCGAUAAGUAGUAGAUUCAUAGAGUAUAUGGAUAAUAAGUGUUUGAUAAGUUUAAAGUAUAAUUUAAACUUGUGCUAAACAUGCACAAUUUAUGAUGAAACAUAAAAUUCUUCCUAUGUUGAAACUUUAACCAAGACGUAACUCUAAUUUUUGCUAAAAUGUUUCUCACAACCCCCAUACAUAAUUAUUAGCAUGAAAUUACGAUAGCAACUACAAACAAAAUGCAACUGUAUUUUAGCAAUAAGUACGACUGCUUAAGGACCUCGUUCAUAAUUUAUUAAUCCCACUUAGUUCAUGUCAAUAUUUUUUUCUACCUUCUUACCCUUCAAAUACGUAAAUGUACAGUAUGUACAAGGUAACUAUGAUUAUACUUUUUUUUUUUUAACUAUAUGAAUUUUAUACAUUUUUGACAAAAAGAUCAUCUGCUUUUAAAUUUUCAGUUAAAUCAAUUAUUAUUUUAAUUUAGAUGAAUCUACAUGACCUGAUAGAUAUUCCAAAUAAUAAACACUAUUACCACCUUACAGAAAGCAUUAAAGUGGAACCUUCAAUUUCUACUCCAUGAUUAUCUUCUUCCAAAAAUAUCAAAAAAAUAUCUAUUCCAUAAGUGCACAUGGAACUAUUUAAUUCCAUGUGUAGAAUGCUUAUUUGGUAUCAAUUCGAUCAAUUUGUAUUAGAAUUGAACUUAACUAUGUAGACCCUUAAUCAAAAAAUGGUCAUUGAACUCACUAGACUAAAAUAUUAUCAUACAAACUAACAUACUUAAAAAAAGUAAAUAGACAUUUAUUCUAUUCCCUAAUAGUUUUAGAUUUGAAUGGAAUAUGGUCACUCGGAGAUAGAAUUCCAUCUCCGCAUUAAUGAAUUCCAUCUCCGCGUUAAUCCAAGUCUGAAAUGAAUAAUCAUAUGAUCAUUUUUCCGCAUAUAAAAUAUAUGAGUAGAGUAGGAAAUUUAUUAUUUGGCCACCACGCCCCAGCUGCCAUCACAAUAUAUAUAACCUUGCUACAUAUACACUAUGACGGCGUAACUUUUGUUUACACUUUGUCACGUGACAUUAUCAUAUUAAACAAUUUAAAUUUCAAACAGUUUUGUUCAUCCAAUUGAUAUUUGGCAACAAUAUAAGUGUUAACCAACAUGUUGGUUGGAGUUUUUCAUUUCUAAGGUGGCAGUCUCAUUUGGAGAAGAAGAGACCAUGAAGAGAAGCGCUCCGAUGAGUAUAGUCGAUUGGUGUGUUGGAAAUAACAUGGAUCUCUUCGGAACAGGUGGUGUCGUUGGAGUUUGGGUGAUGGUAUUUUGGAAAUGAUAUGGAGGUUCACUGGUUUGGCAAUGGUUUCAAUUUUAAUAAGGCCUAGCACAAAACAUCCCUAUGCUGGACACUUCUUGCGGAAAACGUCCCUACUUUUGACACUUCUUGCGUAAAACGUCCAUACAUUUCAAUUUUUUUUUGCAUUUUCAUCCUUAUUAUCACGUUCCAUCGCGAAAAACGUCAUUUUCAUCAAUUUGAAAUGUAAGGACGUUUUGCACGCUACAUAUCAAACGUAGGGACAUUUUAUACUAUUAUGCCUUUUAUUAAUUAUUUGGACUUACUUGCACUUUUUAAAACAUUUAUGAAUAAAAUUGUAAUUUAUUCUUGAUUUUUCUUUUCUUUUUCUUUUUUCUUUUGGGUUCUAAAAGGGACAUUUUUAGCAAUGAAACGUUGAAAUAAGGACGAAAAUGUAAAAAAAAUGAAACGUAGGGAUAUUUUCCGCAAAAGUGUCAAACUUAGGGACGUUUUGUGCUAUUAGCCCAUAUUCCAAAUAAUAAACACUAUUACCACCAUACAGAAAGCAUUAAAGUGAAACCUUCCAUUUCUACCCUAUAAUUAUUUUCUUCCAAAAAUAUCUAAAGAAUAUCUAUUCCAUGAGUGUACAUGGAACUAUUUAAUUCCAUAUGUAGAAUGCUUAUUUGGUAUCAAUUCGAUCUAUUUGUAUUAGAAUUGAACUUAACUAUGUAGACCCUUAAUCAAAAAAUGGUUAUUGAACUUGUCACUAGAGUAAAAUAUUAUCAUACAAACUAACAUACUUAAAAAAGUAAAUAGACAUUUAUUCUAUUCCCUAGUAGUUUUAGAUUUGAAUGGAAUAUUGUCACUCAGAGAUAGAAUUCCAUCUCCGCAUUAAUCCAAGUCUGAAAUGAAUAAUCAUAUGAUCAUUUUUCCGCAUAUAAAAUAUAUGUGUAGAGUAGGAAAUUUAUUAUUUGGCCACCACGCCCCAGCUGCCGUCACAAUAUAUAUAAUCUUGCUACAUAUACACUAUGACGGCGUAACUUUUGUUUACACUUUGUCACGUGACAUUAUCAUAUUGAACAAUUUAAAUUUCAAACAGUUUUGUUCAUCCAAUUGGCAUUUGACAACAAUAUAAGUGUCAACCAACAUGUUGGUCGGAGUUUUUUCAUUUCUAAGGUGUUAGUCCAAUUUGGAGAAGAAGAGACCAUGAAGAAAAGCGUCCUGGUGAGUAUAGUCGAUGGGUGUGUUGGAAAUGACAUGGAUCUCUCCGGAACAGGUGGUGCCAUUGGAGUUUGGGUGAUGGUAUUUUGGAAAUGAUAUGGAGGUUCACCAGUGUGGCAAUGGUUUCAAUUUUAAUAAGGCCUAGCAAAAAAAAUCCCUACGCUUGACACUUCUUAUGGAAAACGUCCCUAUUUUUGACACUUCUUGAGUAAAACGUCCAUACUUUUCAAUUUUUUUUUGCAUUUUCAUCCUUAUUAUCAUGUUUCAUUGCGAAAAGCAUUAUUUUCAUCAAUUUGAAAUGUAAGGACGUUUUGCACGCUACAUAUCAAACGUAGGGACGUUUUAUACUAUUAUGCCUUUUAAUAAUUAUUUGGACAUACUUGCACUUUUUAAAACAUUUACGAAUAAAAUUGUAAUUUAUUCUUGAUUUUUCUUUUCUUUUUCUGUUUUUUUUUGGGUUUUAAAAGGGACAUUUUUAGUAAUGAAACGUUGAAAUAAGGACGAAAAUGUAAAAAAAUGAAACGUAGGGACAUUUUCCGCAAUAAGUAUCAAACUUAGGGACGUUUUGUGCUAUUAACCCAUAUUCCAAAUAAUAAACACUAUUACCACCAUACAGAAAGCAUUAAAAUGAAACCUUCCAUUUCUACUCUAUAAUUAUUGUCUUCCAAAAAUAUCUAAAGAAUAUCUAUUCCAUGAGUGCACAUGGAACUAUUUAAUUCCAUAUGUAGAAUGCUUAUUUGGUAACAAUUCGGUCUAUUUGUAUUAGAAUUGAACUUAACUAUGUAGACCCUUAAUCAAAAAAUGGUUAUUGAACUUGUCAUUGGACUGAAAUAUUAUCAUACAAACUAACAUACUUAAAAAAGUAAAUAGACAUUUAUUCUAUUCCCUAGUAGUUUUAGAUUUGAAUGGAAUAUUGUCACUCGGAGAUAGAAUUCCAUCUCCGCAUUAAUCCAAGUCUGAAAUGAAUAAUCAUAUGAUCAUUUUUCUGCAUAUAAAAUAUAUGAGUAGAGUAGGAAAUUUAUUAUUUGGCCACCACGCCCCAGCUGCCAUCACAAUAUAUAUAACCUUGUUACAUAUACAUUAUGGUGGCAUAACUUUUGUUUACACUUUGUCACGUGACAUUAUCCUAUUAAACAAUUUAAAUUUCAAAUAUUUUUUUCAUCUAAUUGACAUUUGACAACAAUAUAAGAGUCAACCAACAUGUCAAAAAUAAGUGUACAAAUAACAAAGUUCAUAUAACUAUUUCUCUUGUAGAGAAACACGGUGUUUUGGUCAAUGUUUGAUGCAAAGCCAGACCUGAGGAGAGGCUCAAGAGGCCAUUUCUUCAAGCCCAGCUCUUUAGGGGGCCCAAAAUUAGAUUUUUUUUAAAAUCCCAAAAUUAGAUUUUUUAAAUUUAUUUUUUUUUUAAAUACAACUUCUGUUGGAGAAUCAGCACUUGGCCUCUAAAAUCAAUCCAAACAGGGUCUUAAACGUGCAUGAGCUUAAUUUUAGUACUUUAUAUUGUUUGAUUAAUUAAGUUCUAAUGACCCUUUUUAGGGGAGCUGAGGGGUAGUCCUUCAACUUGCAUUCACUUGAAUAGCAAUUCAAAAAAUGCAUUGAAAAUGCUCUACGAGGUUGCACAUAUGUUCAGAUUUUGAAUAAAAAUAAUAGAAUAUACAAAGUUUAUCCAAUUCCUCAAUCUAAAUCAUCCAUCAAAAAAUCUGUUAUUCAAUAUUCGAUGACUAGAGAAUACUCAAUUUUUUUAACUAUAUGAAUUUUAUACAUUUUGACAAUUUUUUUAACUAUAUGAAUUUUAUACAUUCAAUAUCCAUUUUUAUUUUUUUUUACAACUUUAAGCGAAUUUUUUUUUACAUAUAUUUAUGGAAUUCACACUUUUGCUCUUGAAUUAACCCCCUCAAUAAAUUAUUAUUUAAAUGGUUCGUAAACAUUUUGAUUGAUAUUAUUUUUUGGUCAUCCAAAUGGUACUAUAUACAUUUUACGUACAUAUAUAAAAAUAAUGUUUUUAUUUAUUAACAAAUGAAUAUAUUUAUUUUUGGAGAAAUGAGUUUUCAUUAUCAUUUCAUUUUUUUAUCCUGAAGUGAUUCUAAUCUUAAUAUGUUAGAUUGUGCUUCAAAAUUACAUAAUAUAUCAAAUAUAAUUUUUUAAAUUAAUUUUUAUAAAGUAAUAUAUUUUUAUGAUUUUUUUUUUUAGUAAAGUAAUAAUGGAGGCUCAUACUCGAGCCUCCAUAAUUGUUUUGGAGGCUCAAGGACGGAGGCUCAUGUCUUGAGCUCCAUUAUUAUAAUAAUGGAGGCAUCAGCAUGAUGAUGCCUCUAUAAUUGUUAUGAAGGCUCAUGCUUGAGCCUCCAUAACAUAUUAUAUUAUAUUAUAAAAUUAAUAAAAAUUUAAUUAUUUUUUAUUUUUUAGUACUAUUAUAUUUCACCUUUCAAAAAAAAAAAAUCAUUAAAACAUAUUACUUUAUUAAAAUUAAUUUUAAAAAUUAUAUUUGAUAGAUUAUGUAAUUUUGAAGCACAAUAUAAUAUAUUAAGAUUAGAAUUAUUUCAUGAUAAAAAUAAAAUGAUAAUAAAAACUCAUUUUUUGAAAAAUAAAUAUAUUCAUUUGUUAACAUGUUUGGUCUUUAUUUUUUUAAAUUUAUUUUUCUUCAAACAUAUUUUCAAUCAUAUAUUUAUGGAAUUCACACUUUUGCUCUUGAAUUAACCCCCUCAAUAAAUUAUUAUUUAAAUGGUUCGUAUACAUUUUGAUUGAUAUUAUUUUUUGAUCAUCCAAAUGGUUACUAUAUACCUUUUACGCACAUAUAUAAAAAUAAUAUUUUUUAUUUAAUCUUACUUAUGUGCUCAAAAAUAAACUUUCUAAAGAUACAUGGUUGAUAGCGUGAGAAAAUGGUGAAAGAGAUAGAGUGGAGAAAUAGAGAAGCAUGGUUGUAGCGUGUAAAAAUGGAGAAAGAGUAAACAUCCAUUAUUUUAUGUAUUUUUAUUUUAAGAAUAUUAAAAAAAUUAAGUUUAUUAAAUGAAAUUAAAUUAUUGUACUGAGAGCUAAUGAAGGAAAAAGAAAGUAAAAAAAAGAACUCCCAUGGAGGCCUCCAGAAUUACGGAGGCUCAACAACAUGAGGCUUCUUUGAAACUCCAGAAUUACGGAAGCUCAUGCUUGAACCUCCAUAGCAUUACUUUAUUAAAAAAAAUCAUAAAAACAUAUUACUUUAUAAAAAUUAAUUUUAAAAAUUAUACUUGAUAUAUUAUGUAAUUUUGAAGCACAAUCUAACAUAUUAAGAUUAUAAUCAUUUCACAAUAAAAAUGAAAUGGUAAUAAAAACUUAUUUUUCAAAAAUUAAAUAUAUUCAUUUGUUAACAUAUUUGGUCUUCAUUUUUUAAAAUUUAUUUUUCUUCAAACAUAUUUUCAAUCAUAUAUUUAUGGAAUUCACACUUUCGCUCUUGAAUUAGUGUGGAGAAAUAGAGAGGCAUGACUAUAGCGUGAAAAAAUGGAGAAAGAGUAAAAAGGGCUCUAUGACAUAAUCCUCCACGCCGCAUAAAUUGAGGAAAAGCAACAAAGUCAUUGUAUCAAACACGUAAGAUAAACGACGUCGUUGCUUUCUCUCAAUAAAAAAAAAGUUACAGUGAGACAAAAUGAAAGAAUCUAUUAUUCUUUUUACAAUAGUGAAACAUUGCCAUUUUUAUAUAGUAGUGAAAUAUAUGAGUAGAGUAGGAAAUUUAUUAUUUGGUCACCACACCCCAGCUGCCAUCACAAUAUGUAUAACCUUGCUACAUAUAUACUACGGCAGCGCAACUUUUGUUUACUCUUUAUCACGUGACAUUAUUCUAUUGAACAAUUUAAGUUUCAAACAGUUUUUUUUAUCUAAUUGACAUUUGAAAAUAAUAUAAGUGUCAAUCAACAUGUCAAAAAUCAGUGCACAAAUAGCAAAGUUCAUAUAACUAUUCAUCUUGUAGAGAAACACGAUGUUUUGGUCAAUGUUGGAUGCAAAGCCGGACCUGGGGAGAGGCUCAAGUGGCCAUCGCCUCAAGUCCAGCUCUUUAGGGGGCCCAAAAUUAGAAUUUUUUUUUUAAAUCCCACUAAUUACAAUCAAAACUUCCAAUAAUUGUCCUGCUAAAUCAAAACCUAGACCUCCCCCUAAAUUUGUAACUUCUCCAAAAUCCAACCCAUUUAUAUUCAUUCACUCUUGCUCCAAACAAUGAGGCUUCUUCAACAAUAAUAUCGUGAAUCUGAUAAUAAUAUUGUAUACAUUUUGAAGUUAAAUUGCUUGAUCUAUUUUAUUGAUAUUUUUAAUGUAUAUGAUUGCAACGAAAAUUAAUUGGUUGUUACUAUAUCUAGAUUUUUAUUAGUUUCCGAUUACUUUUAUAGAUGCCAUAAUUUUUUGAUUAAUCAAUUUUUAUGAAAUAAAGUUUUUUCACAGAUUUCUAUUAGUUUUUUUGCAUUGUGUGCUUGCGUUCUUUAUUAUUUUUAUUAUUUUUGUUUGCGCAUUUGGAAAACUCUAUUUUUAUGAUCAUGCAAGAAACAAAGAGCCAUCAAGGGUUGAGAAUUUGGGAAAUUAUACAUUGUUUUGUUUUUCAUACAAGUGUUUUCAAUAAUAUAUUUGUUGCGGGAUUAUUAGCUUUGCUUUAUUGGAUUUGCAUUGCUUUGUUAUUUGGUUUCUGUUUUGAUGCUGAGUGUGUGUAGCGAUUUUUGGGUACUGCAAGUUUUGGAUUCGAAAUAUUCAUUUCGUUCUGUAACAAAAGUGAGGAUAUGCAUCAAUAUUAGUGCCAAUUUGAGUGCACUCUACACCCCUUUCUUGUGUCAAAAUUUUCACUUGCUUUUUGAACAUGUUGCACACAUUUUAGGUGCUAUUCUUGUGUCAAAAUUUUCACUUGCUUUCUAAACAUGUUGCACACAUUUUAGGUGCUAUUUGAGUGAACUUUGCACCCCUUUCUUGUGUCAAAAUGGGCCCUUUCACUCUCCACGUUGACCAUCUAAGUAUCAUAUAUAUACAUAUAUAUAGAAGAAACAUCUACUAGAAGAUUGUAUAGUUUUUGCAAGUUGAAGGUUGCGAGGUUACUUGCACAAAUUUAUAUUAAGAGCAUAAUUUUUAGAUUAUACAAUCAAGAUAUUGUGUCUUGUUAAUAUUAGUGAAAUUUAAAUUGCAACAAUUUUAUAAGUAUAAGUUGGGAAGGUGAUAAAUGGUUUAACACUAUUCUUUGUUAAACACCUCCAAUUAGUUUUUAAACCAUUUUUAAUGAGAUCAAAGUAAUUUCCAAUUUUGUAUAGGGACUGUCAUUAACAUUUUGCCAAUACCAAAAUAUUUUUCGCUAUAUUUGGCUUAUGGUCAGAUCUAAAUUUUUUCAUCUAAACACACACACAAUUAAUCCAUCAAAGUGCACCAGGAUGGAAAGUAAAUAAUGCUGAGAAUAAAUAUAUAAUUUAAACUCUUUAUACAAUAUCUCAAGUCCUAAUGAGUGAUAUAUUAUAACGUGGUUUGUUGAUUGUCAAUUUGACUGAAUGAUUUUUAUCAAUGUUAGAGAGAAAUUUAGAAAUUAAAAAUAAUAUAGAUAAUGUAUCAUUAUAUCGUCUAGAUUUUUGCAAAGAUAAUUCAAACUAGAAGUUUGGAGGAUAAUUCAUUUAAAUGCAUUCACUGAUUAAAGAUAAUAUCAAUAUCUCACACAUUAAUUUUAAAUGUUCCAACUUGAAUUGACAUCCCCAUGAGGACAAUCCAUUAACAUUUGACUGAUGUUUGAAGCAUGAAUAUGUUCGAUUUUAAGAAAGAUUUCAAAAGGAAAAGAAGCAUAUGAGGAAGAUGGUCCCAUUUUGGAAACGUAUAUCUUUGGAGAAUAUAUAAACAUAACUAAUUAUAAAACUCCAUAAGAGGUUUAAGUAUUUGAAAUAUUGAAAGUAGAGAUAUCUCAUUAAGUUAUGUUAUAAUGGAAAAGAAAUAGAAUCGAAAGAAAAAGUUUUCGACAACACUUUUGUACAUAAUGUACUGCUUCAUAUUAUAAAAGAUGAGGAUGUCAAAAUAAAUUCGAAAAAUCAUAUAAAAAAAAAACAAAAAAAAAACUGGCCAAAUAAAAGGACGCAAUCCUAAUAAAAUUAAACUUAUUAAAAAAACCUAAAGUUUCUACAUCUACCGUCCAAGCACCUAAAUUGACUUAUCAAAAAUGAAAAUAGAAACAAUAAAAUCAUAAUAUAUAAUGUACAACUCCUAGCAUAAUGAAUUUCGCAAAGACUUAUAUAUAAAUAGAUAAAUUAAUCUGUGAUCGAUACAAUCACAAAUCUCUGUCUUGUUAGCCCGAUAAUGCAUGAAAUCUAAUAUGCAUAUAAUAAAUGUGAUUGUACAACUUAUUUUGUAUGUUUUAAUACUACUCUUGAAGGAUUCUAUACCUGAAGUAUAAAUUCAAGUUAUAUUAGCAUGAGUGGGAGUAAAUAUGCAUUGUUCUAUUUUUCCAUUAAUCAUGGUUUUGUCCCGUUGGUUUUUCUGACAAAGUUUUUAAUGAGGUAACUUUUGUAGCAUACUCAAAAGAAUAAUGUACUCUUUUUCCAUCAUUAGGAUUUUUUCCACAUGAUUUUUCCUAAUAAAAUUUGAAAUUUUGAAAUUUUUAUUUCAAACAAUUUAUUACUAUUAACGGGAACUGUUGUUUCUUCUGACCAUAUAUAGCGGAAAAGAGAUAUAUAUGCAAAAGAAAUUAAAAUAUCAACUAACCAGAUAAAAUGUCUCACUGAUUAAAAGUGAUAGUUUCAUAGCUUUUACUGUUAAACAAACUCAAAGUGAUAAUAUAUUAAUCCUAAAUUUAUAAGUCUUAACAUUUAGUGGACCAAUAAGCAUCGGACUAUGUCAUGGUGCAUUGUUAUACAAUUUAAACAUUGGACAAGGUGACAGUCUACCUAGAAAUUUCUCUUGCCCUGAUCUGUAACAUUUGUUAUUGUCGCUCCAACAUUUUGGCUUACUUCAAUUUCACACUCAAUAUGACGCCUUCACGAACUACGCAGGACAGAUAUUUCGCUUGGCUUUUAGCACCUUGAAUUGCAUUUGUAUUGGAAUGAUGUGAUUUUUGAAUCUCGAUUUCAAAUGCCUACACCUUUUAAUUUAUAUGGAGAAUUGGUUGCAAAUAGAAGGUUGUAGAAUUAUGUUAUUUUGACUAAAUUGAUUUGUCCAGUAUUGGCACUACCCUUUUCAACUAUGACUGUAGGGCAAACAUUUUCAACAACGAAAAAUGUGAAGAUGGAAAUUUGUAUCAAAAUGGAUGAUGAUUUUCUUACUGAUUGUAUGACAUUCUACAUGGAACGAAAGUCUACUAUGAAUUUAGAUGUAUGUUUUAUUAUUGAUUAAUUAUAUACUUGUCGGGCACAACUUGAGGGUAAAGGUUAUAUUAUCAUUUUUUUUUGUUAUAAAUGAAUUUUAUUCGUACAUUAACUUUUAAAAAAAUAAUUGCCCCAUGCAACGUAAAUUCCUGACUUCGCCUGGAAAGCAUGUAAUAUUGAAAUUGACCUAACAUCUGAUUUGAUUUGGGCCCAUCUUUGUUAAAACUUAGUAGUAAUAAACAAUUAAAAAGAUGAAAGUCGAGAAGUUUUAUUCAUAUCAAUACUAAACACGAGUUACAAAUGAAGUGAAGAGAGUCCUUCACCGAGCAUUAUCCAAAGCACUGCUACAAACAUAUCAAGUAAACACUAGAAAUAUUAAGUAGUCAAGUUACACAUUCGUGCUUGGAGCUUAAUUAGUUAAGCUGAAAAGCAGUGUCAUAAGCAAUUCCAGCCUUCCAAUCACUGGGAAUGGCACUGGUUAAUUGCACCCACUUCAUUUCCGCGUUGCCCUCGGCCACCACCUGAAGUCUAAAGUUGAGAGGCCUCGGUGGUGGGUUCUGAUGGUCGAAUACUGUUCCAAAGACUCUUCGCAUUGGCCUCCAUUCUUUGCGAUCCUCCUGCCAACAUCAAUGACAAAGUUACUUUUUUAGAAAGUAAACAUAUAUUUAAAAAUCAUGUUUCAAAAAGUAAAAAAGAAAAGUUUAUUUGACUUUAAAGUAUAUACCUGUCAUAUUUCAACCGCGAUGAUAUCAUACGUUCCCUCUUUAUACAAUGGCACUACGGCCAAGUACUGAGGGUAUUUGCUAUGCUCAUGGACUUUUAGAAAGAGAUUAUAACCAUAACAACAUGGAAUUCUUUUGAAUUCGAUGUCAACUACGCCCUAUGAAAAUAGUUCUGCAGCCAUGUUGGAUCGAGCCAAUUUUGCGUACGCUUGUGUACUCAAUAUGAAGUCUGUACGGUCUCCCUCGCCAUAAUCCGUUACCACUACCUUCGCUCCUUCCUCGCUCAGUGUGUUGGGAUUCUGUACCUUACCUAAUUCAUUUAGUCAUUGAAGCAUCAGCUUAGAAGAGAAAAUAAGCAUAAGCUAAAAAAUAAAUAAAUAAUUUAGUUAUAGAUUUUUUGUCCAUUGUCAAAAAAUGGCGUACCUGAUAGCAAGCACCGCAACCAGUUCCAUUCCUGUAAAGCCUAGAGACUCCAGUGAUUUCACCAUUGUUGACAAACGUCCCAUAUUCACCAAACCCACAAGCUCCAACUAGUAAAAUUAUGAAAAAAACUUUUUGAAUUAGCUACAGACUACAGUAUUGUUGAGAAAAAAAACUGAGUUAUGGGCCGACUUUGGCACGAGUUUUGAGUGGACCCAGUUGUUCAAUUUGGAAGAUGAAAGUUGAUUUGUGUUCUCCUCCGUGAGUACAUCAAAAUCAUUUACUUACUUACCAAAGAUGAUGCUCGGUUGAAUGAGAAAUUGAGGCUCAAUAUGUGCCACUCAAAAGGGAGUUUAUAUGGAAAAAAUGAAUUUGUCCCACAUAGAAAAAAGAUGAGAAACUCCAAAGGUCAUUGCCAUUAAUGGUAGCCUAGCCUAUAAAUAGUGGCUCAUUUUCCUCAUUUCAACACAACAAAGUAAAAGCUUUCAAGUUUAGAAUACACAAGAAAUUCAUUUGUUGUGUAUUCUGAGAAACAGACGCUCGUUUUAAACCUCAAGCACGGACAGUGAGGGAGCGAAUCUGUUUUAAGGAAACUAUGUAUAACACAGGCCUCGGUUUGAAAUUUCAUUUCCUGCAAUUUCAAUUAUUCGUUCUGUUAUUUAUUGCAGUAAAUUCAAUAGUUGAUUUGUUGUUCAUUCUGUUAUUAUCCAAUUAGUUGUACGACUGUAACUUGCUGUUAUAUAUCAUCUUACCGGACAAAAGGCAUAUACGGUAUUGAAAUCGAGAAUACUGAAUUCCUCAUUUUUCAUAAACUUACCGGAUUUCAGAAAAGCUUGGUCAGCCGAACUGGUGAAACUUAGGAUUUUCCCUACAAGCUUAAAACAGAUUUUCAGAAAGGAAAAAUUGGUUUCCUAUAUUGAUUAUUUCUAAACUGAUUAGUUUCUUAUAUUUGUUAUAUUGAGGAAACUAAUUUUUUGUUUGGUUCUUUCAGAAGACGAAAUGGCAACCGGUUCCACCAACAUAGAUUCCAACAUGGAUGUGUCCCAAACUGUAGGUACCCAAACUCAGGCUGUGGGUUCUACUAUGGGUGCAGGCCUAGUUCGGCUAUGGAUGCAACUAUGGCUGUACGGCCUAGCUCUGUUAUUGCUCAGACUGAAGUGCCAAGUCGUGUUGUGAGCCAACAUGUGGCUAAUGUUACGGUUAAUGUACUGGUUAACCAUGGGGAAAAGCCGGAGAAAUUCAACGGCUUGAAUUUCAAGAGGUGGCACCAGAAAAUGUUGUUUUAUCUGACCACCUUAAAUCUUGCGAGAUUCUUGACUGAAAGUGCUCCAAAACUCCAAGAGGGUGAGGUGGAUGUUCAAGCAAUCAGUGUUGUUGAUGCUUAGAACCACUCGAACUUCUUAUGCCGAAAUUACAUCAUGAACAGUUUGGCAGAUUCGCUAUACAACGUGUAUAGCACCAUAAAAACUACUAAGGAGUUGUGGGAGUCUUUGGACCGGAAAUAUAAGACUGAGGAUGCCGGGGCUAAGAAAUUUAUCGUCGGCCGAUUCUUGAACUAUAAGAUGGUGGACUCCAAAACUAUAAUCAGUCAAGUGUAAGAACUACAAAUGAUUCUUCACGAAAUUCAUGCCGAAGGGAUGAUUCUGCGUGAAACUUUCCAAGUGGCUGCAAUCAUUGAAAAAUUGCCUCCCGCGUGGAAAGAUUUCAAGAAUUAUCUGAAACACAAGUGAAAGGAAAUGAACGUUGAAGAACUGAUUGUUAGAUUUCAAAUUUAAGAAGACAACAAGAGUUUCGAAAAGAAAUGAUUCAGUCCUGGUACGGCUAAGGCCAAUAUUGUUGAACAUGGUCAAGGUAGUAAGAACUACAAAACUAAAGCUGGGACCAAAAGGGGGCAUUCCUAAGAAGAAAUUUCAAGGGAAGUGCUUCAACUGUGACAAAGUAGGUCACAAAUCUUCAGAGUGCAGAAUGCCAAAGAAGAAGAAAGAAGCAAAUGUGGUUGACUACAUGGCACAUGAUGUGUCGGAGAUGAAUCUCGCAGCAGUCAUUUCUGAAGUGAACAUGGUGGGUUCUAACCCAAAAGAAUGGUGGAUUGAUACCGGAGCUACGAGACAUGUGUGCUCUGAUAAAGAGUUAUUUACUACUUUUGAAGCAGUUGAGAAUGGAGAGAAGUUGUUCAUGAGAAAUUCAGCAACUUUUGAAAUCAAGGGCCAAGGAAAAGUGGUUCUGAAGAUGACUUCGGGAAAAGAGCUGACUCUCAACAACGUGCUGUAUGUGCCAAAAAUCCACAAGAACCUUGUGUCCUGGCGCUUUUGAAUAAGCAUGGUUUUCACAUUGUGUUUAAGUCAGACAAGGUCAUCUUGUCGAAAAGUGGAAUGUUUGUCGGAAAAGGUUAUGUUUCCGAUGGAAUGUUUAAGCUCAAUGUAAUGGUUGUUAAACCAAAAAUGAAUAAUAAAGUGAAUGCUUCUGUUUACUUGCUUGAGUCUUCCAAUGUGUGGCAUGGUAGACUAGGACACGUUAACUAUGAUACUUUACGUAGGCUAGUUAACUUGAAAUGCAUACCAGCAUUCCAUGUUGAUUCCAAACAUAAGUGUGAGACUUGUGUUGAAGCAAAAUUGGCUAGGUCGUCCUUUAAGUCAAUUGAACGAAAUACGAAAUCACUUGUUUAAUUCACAGUGAUAUAUGUGAUUUAAAAUUUGUACAAACAAGAGGUGGCAACAAGUAUUCCAUUACUUUUGUCGACGAUAGUACGAAAUACUGCUAUGUGUAUUUGCUAAAAAGCAAGGAUGAAGCGAUAGAGAAAUUUGUUCUCUAUAAGAAUGAAGUUGAAAAUCAACUUAACAAGAAAAUUAAGGUGCUAAGAAGCGAUCGAGGUGGUGAGUAUGAAGCACCGUUUGCUGAAUUCUAUGCACAACACGGAAUCAUACAUGAAACCACCGCACCGUAUUCAUCGCAACAAAAUGGUGUUGCUAAAAGGAAAAAUCGCACCUUAAAGGAGAUGAUGAAUGCGAUGCUAGUAAGUUCUGGAUUACCUCAGAACAUGUGGGGAGAUGCUGUGUUAUCAGCAAAUUACCUUUUGAAUAAGGUGCCCCGAAAGAAAAUGGAGAAGACACCUUAUAAGUUAUGGAAAGGAAGAACGCCUUCCUAUAAAUACUUACGAGUGUGGGAGUGUCUUGCUAAAGUGGUUGUCCCAACACCAAAGAAGGUGAAGAUAGGCCUGAAAACUGUAGACUGCAUAUUGAUUGGAUAUGCACAUAACAGUAGUGCUUAUCGAUUUCUCGUGUAUGAAUCUAAAAUCCAAGAUAUACACACAAACACGAUAAUGGAGUCGAGAAACGCUUCGUUCUUUGAACAUGUGUUUCCAUGCAGGUCAAAGAAGAGGCAAGUUCUUCUAAACAGACGUAUGAGACUAUGACUGAACAUAGUCAGGACCAAGAACCAGAAGGAGGUUGAGAUUGAAAUUAGACGUAGCAAAAGGGAAAGGACAGAAAAAUCUUAUGGUCCGGAUUUUCUGACCUAUAUGCUAGAAAGUGAACCUCAAAGCUAUUAAGAUGCUGUGAACUCCUCGGAAGGACUUCAAUGGAAAGAGGCCAUUAAAAGUGAAAUAGAUUCUAUCCUACAAAAAUCAUACAUGGGAGCUAGUGGAUCUUCCACCAGAAAGUAAACCACUAGGCAACAAGUGGAUUUUCAAACAAAAAAUGAAAGCAGAUGGAACUAUUGAAAAGUAUAAGGCCAAGUUGGUAAUAAAAGGUUACCGAAAACGGGAAGGCCUUGAUUACUUUGAUACAUAUUCUCCAGUAACGAGAAUAACAUCCAUUAGAAUGAUACUUGUGAUUGCUGCUUUGCGAAAUCUUGAAGUACAUCAAAUGGAUGUUAAGAUUGCCUUCUUGAACGGAGACUUAGAUGAAGAAAUCUAUAUAGAACAACCCGAAGGGUUUUGUCUCCAGGGCAGGAAAAGAAGGUGUGUAAAUUGGUGAAGUCAUUGUAUGGCUUGAAACAAGCACGAAAACAAUGGCAUGAUAAAUUUGACAGUGUCAUGAUGGAGAGUGGAUUUAAGAUCAACAAGUGUAAUAAAUAUGUUUACGUUAAAGACACUAAAAAUGGCUAUGUUAUUUUAUGUCUUUACGUUGAUGACAUGCUUAUUGUUGGCAGCAAUGAUAAGGUGAUCAAAUCCACUAAAACCAUGUUAAAUUCGAGAUUUAACAUGAAAGACACGGGUCUAGCUGAUGUUAUACUUGGAAUCAAAAUUUCAAGAACAUCGGAUGGUCUUGUUCUAAGCCAGUCACAUUAUGUGGACAAAAUCCUAGGAAAGUUUAGUAAGGAUGAUACUGAAAUGGCUAGAACCCCGAUAGAUACGAGUCAACAUCUAUCUAAGAACAAAGGUGAAAGUGCGUCUCAAGUAAAAUACUCGAGAAUUAUUGAAAGUCUGAUGUACUUGAUGAGUUGUACAAGACUAGACAUAGCCUACACAGUGAGCAAACUGAGUAGAUACACGAGUAAUCCAGGAGCUGAUCACUGGAAAGGAAUAGUAAGAGUACUAAGGUACUUGAGAUAUACUCAUAAUUUUGGACUGCACUAUAGCAGAUAUCCAGCGGUCAUUGAAGGAUAUAGUGAUGCUAAUUGGAUAUCCUAUGUAAAAGACUCAAAGUCCAUGAGUGGAUUUGUGUUCACAUUGGCAGGUACAGCUAUAUCAUGGAAAUCUUCUAAACAAACAGUGAUAGCCAAAUCCACUAUGGAAUCUGAGUUUCUAGCUCUAGAUAAAAGUGGUGAAGAGGCUGAGUGGCUACGCAACUUCUUAGAGGAUAUUCCAAGAUGGUCAAAGCCUAUGCCAACAAUUUGCAUAUAUUGUGAUAGUCAAUCGACAAUUGGAAGGGCACAGAGCAACAUGUAUAAUGGUAAGUCUAGACAUAUACGUCGUAGACAUAAUACCAUUAGGCAACUACUCUCAACUGGAGUUAUCACUAUUGAUUAUGUAAAGUCAAAGGAUAACAUUACGGAUCCGCUAACCAAAGGAUUAAAUAGAGAGUUAGUUGAGAAAUCAUCGAGAGGAAUGAGACUUAAGCCCUUGAAUGGAUAAGUUAAUACAAAGGAAAACCCAACCUAGUUGACUGGAGAUCCCAAGAUCUAGGUUCAAAGGGACAACCUUAUUGUAAAGACUUGAUAGAAUCACUGUGGGGGAUAUUACCUCCUACCCAUUCCUGUGAUGCGACAGUGAUGCCCGUAAAGAUGGAGGAUAAGCAAUAGGCUUUUAAUGAUUCUUAUGCGUCAAAAAUUGAGGCAAGUAAUGCUUGUUACUUGUAAUAAUAAAUCACCAAUGUGAGAGAGAAGUGGGGCCGCUUCUAAGGGAAUUGUGUGGGGCGCAAUUCUUGUGAACUCUCAUAGAACCGGGCAUAUGUUCAUGGCCAAAACGAACAUAAUAAUGAGAACUGAAAUGUGUUAGGAAGAAUCCUAUGUGAAGUGUAUCAUCGUUUACAUAAAUGGCAGAAUAGUUCAAGGACAUCGCGUCUACUGGUCAGCCAGUGAAGUAAAUAUGCUUUCACAAUGGAAGGUUCAAAGGAUAACAUCUACCUAUCCUAUGCAGGUUUCAACUAUUCAACUAUAUCACCAAGUCGUCAUGUGUCACAUGUAUGAGUCGCUCCCAAUUUUCAUUCAUGUGGGGGAUUGUUGAAAAAAAAAAUUGAGUUAUGGGCUGACUUUGGCACGAGUUUUGAGUGGGACCCGGUUGUUUAAUUUGGAAUAUGAAAGUUGAUUUGUGUUUUCCUCCGUGAGUACAUCGAAAUCAUAUACUUACUUGCCAAAGAUGAUGCUUGGGUGAAUGAGAAAUUGAGGCUUAAAGUGUGCCAUUCAAAAGGGAGUUUAUGUGGGAAAAAUGAAUUUGUCCCACAUAGGAAAAAGAUGAGAAACUCAAAAGGUUAUUGCCGUUAAUAGUAGCCUAACCUAUAAAUAGUGGCUCAUUUUCCUCAAUUUAACACACAAAAGCAAAAGCUUUCAAGUUUAGAAUACACAAGAAAUUCAUUUGCAUAGAGUUCUGUCUUUUCUGCAUUUCUAUCUUGGUGGUGGUGUAGUUCAGGCACUAGUUCAGUUCGCCGGAGUGGUUUCUGCGUUGCUCGGAAGCUACUAGUUUUACCGUUGUAUCCUGGGAAACGGACGCUCAUUUUAAACCUCAAGCACGGAUGGUGAGGGGGCAAAUCUAUUUUAAGGAAACUGUCUGUAACACAGGCCUCGGUUUGAAAUUUUAUUUCCUGCAAUUUCAAUUAUUCGUUCUGUUAUUUAUUGCAGUAAAUUCAAUAGUUGAUUUGUUGUUCAUUCUGUUAUUAUCCAAUUAGUUGUACGACUGUAAUUUGCUGUUAUAUAUCAUCUUACCGGACAAAAGGCAUAUACGGUAUUGAAAUUGAGAAUACUGAAUUUCUCAUUUUUCAUAAACUUACCGGAUUUCAGAAAAGUUUGGUCGAUCGAACUGGUAAAACUUGGGAUUUUCCCUACAAGUAUUACUAUCUAAUGCAUCAGCGGAAUAUUUGGUAAAUGGAGAGUAAAAUAAAUAAAAUGUUGGUAAUGACAGUCAAGUACUAUUGAGUACCUAACAUGCAUUAAAGGUAUCGUAAAUAAGACAUACUUAAGGUUGCUAGGCAUUUUGGGCUGCCGUAAUAGGUUGCUCUGGAGCGGACAAAAGCAUCUUGGCCAUGACAAACUGCAGUCGAAAGCAAUAUCAAAGAAAGAAAGAGGGUAUAACAAGCCAUAUUUCAGACAAUUCCAAUUCUUAAAGUAUUAAUACAAAAUUAUGAAUUAAUAGAGUGGACGAGGAAUGAAAUACCUUGAAUAAAAGGGCCAUAUUUAUAGCAGAGCAAUAACAGACUAUGUGAAUGAUUCAAUUCAACCUUUAUGAUUCCACUAAUGAAUAAUAAAUCCAAGUGCGGAGGCAGUCGGAUAGGUAAAACAGGAUACGUAUACAAAUUAAGCAAGGUCUCAACUUUUAAAUGGUAAGAGCAUCUUUAAACACAAUGUACUCUCUACCUUAACAAACUCUUUAAAUUGACGUCUUAAAAUAGAGAGUGAGUCGAACCCUUCUCUAUAAUUAAAUGCGUUCAAAGUAUUUCAAUUUUUAUUGAAGGAAAAUAAUAUAUAAUUUGAAGGGAAACUAGUGAAAAUAAAAUCUAAGAAAAACAAUAAAUAUUUUUUGGAAGUAGCAAAAUCAAUGUUAAAUAUAAAGAGUCUGUUGGAGUAUUUAAAAAUUCUUACUCUAUAAAUUUAUAAAUGUUCUCUAUAUUGUAUAUGUUCUUUAAAAAUAGAAAAUCUCUUAAAGGUGUUCAAAGAGUAUAAUGACUUGAGAAAUACUUUCAUUGAAGUUAAAAUUUUAAAUAGAACCCACCUCGAGACUUGUGUGGUAUCGGAGUCAACAAGCUCAAAGAACGAUUUUCGAUCCGUCUAGAGUUCAAAUGAGCAAGGCCGAUUUUAGGCCGAGGCCAAUGAGCCCCUUGCCUCAGGCCCAAAAAUUUAGGGGGCCUCAUUUUUUUUUUAUUUUUUUUUAAUAUAUACCUAAUCCCUAAUUUUUCCCUUCCGUUUGCCCGAUUGCUAGAGGUGAGAAGAGGCGAGAAAGAAACAACUAGAGAAAGGCAACCCACGUUACCCACGCCACUGCCUAGUACCUCCCUGCCUACUUGUAUGUAUUCCUUCUUAUUUUUUUGCAUUGAAUUAUUGAAUAGGGCAAUUAGAAUUUAGAUGGAGUGAAAAACCCACAGCCUCUUCAACUGAAACUUCCUCUUUAUUUUUCUUCUUUUAUAUUACAUUUAUUUUUUUAUUUCUAUUUAAUUUAAUCAUUAAUUAUUCUUAUAUUAAUGUUAACAUAUAAUUAAUUGCGCAUAUAAAUAAAUGAAUAUACACAAAACAUAAAUUUUCAUCUUCUUCGUUGUGGAACUUUGUCGAGAAUCUUGAGGGACAAUUAUUCCUAAUUACUGGAGCAUGAAGGUACUUAAAAUUAUAUAAUGUUUGUGAAAAUAAUGUAUUUAUGUUAUCACAAUAUUGUAUUUCAAUGUGAUUUCAUGUUUUUCUAAAACUUAAGCACAAAUUUUUUUUGUUUUUUAAUCAAUUAUUUAUUAUCUUCUUUUGGAUAGUUUUCUUCAUUCCAUCUUUUUGAGUAAAUUGAUGAAAAUUUGGGAUUUUUGGUAAUUUUUCUGCUUAAAGAUUUUAUGAGGUUUGUGGAGUAGGAAAAUUUAUUAUUUAUGUUUUAAUAAAUUGUUGAGUGUUGACUUGAUGAGUGAUGAUCCUUUUGAAACCUUUAACCAUUGCAACGGUAUUAUAUAAUGCCAAAUUUAAUUAUAGCAAUCACUCCAGUUACUUUAUUAUUAGUAAUAAUUAAGAUGGGGUUUCAAUUUUGGGUAUUGUGGUUUGUGGCCGUGGGUACUAGGUUGUUGAAUUAAAUUCCUAGAAUCUGUGCAUUGCAACGAGCUCUAUGAUUUGUAGGAAUCUUAGUUGUGAGUUCAUUCCUCUCCUUUUAUGCUGAUAGGUAAUUUUCAUGGAACAAUAAACUGUAUGAAAAUCCGGUGAACACGAGUUUGAAUGGAAGCAAAGGCCAAAGAGAGAUGUCUCCAAUAGAGCAUUAUUUAGGAAUUUGAACCAAUGAAAAUAUUGAAAAGAUGCUCACCUAGUCACCUAGCCACCUUGGCCAUGGUUUUCAUAACAGUUAAAUCUUUAUUUAUUAGUUCCAAUGCUUAAACAAUACCAAAACUCAAAUCUUACUGGCUUCUAGGAUCUACUUUUUGAGCAUUAGACUUUUUAAGCACCAAACUUUAUCUUCACAUAUAAUUUAAAUUUAUCGACAACAAUUAAUUGGGUGUUAUGAUUGUUGUUAAAUUUUGCUUUCAAGAUUGUGUUGUGACGGUGGAAUUCUCAAAGAGCCGCAUCGUGUCAUUUCAUAAUUUUUGCUCAAUGCCCUAAAUUUAAUUUUACUUAAAUUUGAUAAUGUGUAAAUUAAAGUAUCAUAAUUUUAUUUAAAUUUUAAUUUCAGGCUCAUGGACUGUGACAGUGAAAUUCUAAAGGGUGUGAUUUCACAAUUUUCGUUGAAAUUUCACUUCUCAGGUAAGUAAUGUUUGCCCUAACUUGUUAUUGAAGAGAAUGAAAAUGUUUGAAGCCUUGUCGGCUUAUAUAAUUGGUUAUUGUAGGAUGAACAAUUGCACAGGCGCACGUAGUAACUAAUUUACAUUUACAUUGAUUUCGCCGAGGGGCAUAAUAUACCGUAGAAUUUUACAUUUAGGUUGAUUUCGCCAGGGGCCAAAUUUACGAACUUCAUCUCAGGCCUUGACGAUCACAGGACCGGCUCUGCAAAUGAGCAAUCGGAUUUUACAAGAUGUAUUAAAGGUAUAAUGAUAUAAUGCAAGAGCAGCCUUAAUAGUGCCUUUCGAAAAAAUCUUGUCAUUCUAAAGUGUACGUUGAUAAUGUAGAGAAAUUGUGAGAUUAAGCUAGUGUCGAAAUAAAAAUUUGCUUGACGGCAGGCUGUCUAGAGCACCUACUUUAAAAAAUUUUAAAGAGGGAGGACUAAUAUAAAUUUAUCUUUUGAUGAAGAUAGAUUCUAAGAAGACGAUAAGUUUAUCAAGAAAAACGUCAUAGAAAUUAAGGGCUUGUGUCUUUUAAGCUAAUAUAAUGUUUUAUCGAUGUAAAAGUCGAAAUCGUUGAGUUAUGAAUAACUUGUUCAACCUUGUUUGUUGNNNNNNNNNNNNNNNNNNNNNNNNNNNNNNNNNNNNNNNNNNNNNNNNNNNNNNNNNNNNNNNNNNNNNNNNNNNNNNNNNNNNNNNNNNNNNNNNNNNNNNNNNNNNNNNNNNNNNNNNNNNNNNNNNNNNNNNNNNNNNNNNNNNNNNNNNNNNNNNNNNNNNNNNNNNNNNNNNNNNNNNNNNNNNNNNNNNNNNNNNNNNNNNNNNNNNNNNNNNNNNNNNNNNNNNNNNNNNNNNNNNNNNNNNNNNNNNNNNNNNNNNNNNNNNNNNNNNNNNNNNNNNNNNNNNNNNNNNNNNNNNNNNNNNNNNNNNNNNNNNNNNNNNNNNNNNNNNNNNNNNNNNNNNNNNNNNNNNNNNNNNNNNNNNNNNNNNNNNNNNNNNNNNNNNNNNNNNNNNNNNNNNNNNNNNNNNNNNNNNNNNNNNNNNNNNNNNNNNNNNNNNNNNNNNNNNNNNNNNNNNNNNNNNNNNNNNNNNNNNNNNNNNNNNNNNNNNNNNNNNNNNNNNNNNNNNNNNNNNNNNNNNNNNNNNNNNNNNNNNNNNNNNNNNNNNNNNNNNNNNNNNNNNNNNNNNNNNNNNNNNNNNNNNNNNNNNNNNNNNNNNNNNNNNNNNNNNNNNNNNNNNNNNNNNNNNNNNNNNNNNNNNNNNNNNNNNNNNNNNNNNNNNNNNNNNNNNNNNNNNNNNNNNNNNNNNNNNNNNUUUUCUCAAACAAACAAACACAAAAACUUUAAGGUAUUAACAAGUGGAAAGAUAUACAAAGUGAUGUUUGAUGAGGAGCACUAAACUUGGUGGAGCUAGGCCCCUUGAACCAAACCCUAAUUCAUUAUUCUUUAUUAUUUUUGUACUACAUUAAAAAAUUAUGUUCUGUACAAAAUUAAUCUAUUUGUUAGUUUCAUUUCCACGUACAAAGGCCUAUAUAGGUGGAUUAAACCAAGAGUUGCACUACAUGUACAGCAAAGAAUUUGCCAGACAACUUACAGCUCACACACAAUCCAUGGGGUGGGUGGGUAUAUUUUUUCAAUAUAAAACUCACAUGGAAUCCACCCCAUGUGAGUUUUCUGGAUUUAUUCUGUAGGGAAAAUUAUGUACAAACAGAUUUUUCCUUAAACCAGUAAUAUUGAGUGAACCAAUUUUCCUUCUAAUUUGUCGUUAGUGAAGUCCAAUCAUUCUGGCCAUUUGUCAAUUUUAUAUUGUGAAGAAAGUUUCUCAUUUUUUAUUUAUUUAUUUUUCUUUUUUGAUAAAGCACCAUCAUAGUCUCGAUGUCUUUUAAGGCUCUGCCAAGCAAAAAUUGAUUAUGGCCAUAUGUGAAGAUAGCAAUUUAUAUCAAAAUUGAUUAUGGUUUUCUUGUUAAUUGUAUGGCACACUACAUCAAGCAAAAAUUUAGAUGUAGAAUCUAUGAUAGAUUAAUUUUAUACUAUAAAAUCUUGUCCGGCAAAACUAUAAUAGUAAAUAUACGAACAUUAACUUUUAAAAAAAUGGUCUCAUGCAACGUAAAUUCCCAACUUCGCCUGGAAAGCAAGUAAUAUUGAAAUUGACAUAACAUUUGAUUUGGGCCCAUCUUUGUCAAUAGUUAUAAACAAGUAAAAAGAUGAAAUUCUAGUAAUUUUAUUCAUAUCAAUAUUAAACAUGAGGUACAAAUGAAGUAAAGAGAAUCCUUCACCAAACAUAAUCCAAAGCACUAGAAAUAAUUAACAAGUAGUCGAGCCUAUAGAUGUUACACAUUCGUGGUUGGAGCUUAAUUAGUUAAGCUAAAACCAGUGUCAUAAACAAUUCCAGACUUCCAAUCAUUAGGAAUGGCGCUAGCUAAUUGCACCCACUUCACUUCAGUGUUGCCCUCGACCACCACCGAAAGUCUGAAGUUGAGAGGGCCCAGUGGUGGGUUCUGAAGGUCGAAUAAUGUUCCAUAGACUCUUCAAAUUGGCCUCUAUUACUUGUAAUCCUCCUAACAACAUCAAUGACCAAGUUACCGUUUUAAAAAGUAAAAUUUUAUUUAAAAACCAUAUUUUGAUAAGUAAAAAAGAACAGUUUAUUUGACUUAAGAGUAUAUAUUAGCCAUACUUAAAUAGUGAUGAUAUCAUACAUUACCUCCUUGUACAAUGGAACUACGGCCAAGUACAGAGAGAGUCAAAUAGUACUCAACAGUAUUGACGGAAAAAAGAAGUAAAAUCUUGUUAACGAUAGAGUUUAGUACUAUUGAAUACCAAACGUGCAUUAUAUGGAUCCAUGCUCCUAUGCGUAUUUUGGAGAGACAUUUUCUGCCCCUUGAGGUAAAUCAUCAAUAGGUUGACUUGAAGUAUAAUUACUUGACAUAUCCACCUCAACUUUCCUUUCAAUUGGGCUAGCCUUUUUCCUUUGCCUUAGAGGGUAAGCCCUCUGUCUAUGUCCCUCCUCAUCUUGUUGAAAAAUAUUUUGCUGAGGCAUUUGAUGCUAGCCUGUCCCUACAUUAGCUUAAGUAAUUAUUGCACGUCAGUAUUUUGUUAGGCAGUAUUUCUCAUGUUGGCAGCCAUUUCUUCAAGAUUUCUUGCAAGGCAUGCAGUAAUGCCACCUCCUUAACGGUGUUGGUGGUGGGAUCUACAAAUAUUUUCAUUGGUUCGAACGACUUCUUCUUCAUGGUAUACUAACGAUUUGUGUAUCAACACUUCAAAUAGCACUGUCACUUGUCCUUUCUUCAAGAACAGAUACCUUUCUUCAAGGGUGGAGUUUGACACACUAGUGUGUUUCCCACAAACGAUGUCAAUCUUUGACCUCAAAUUUUGUACCUCCAACAUAGUCAACAGAUAUCAAGGCUUCCCAUGUCCAAGUAAGUCUGAUUUCUGCGCACUUCGACAAACCAUUAAUCAUACGUUGCCUUCUCCCCUGGUAGUGAAGUUGGCCAUGCGCACUCCAACGGCCAAGCAAUUGAAGUAGUGUAUAUGGGUAUAGAAGGUGCUUUAGACACGAGUCUCUAAUAUAAAAAGGGGGUCAAUUUUGGAAAAAAUUGUGAUAAUAACAAUAAAUAUAGCAAAUUGUGAUUGAGAGUUUAAACUUGCAUCACCUUUGGAAUGACACAUUGUGUGAGCUUUUAUAGCAAAAUAUGAUGGAUAUCGGCCAUAGGAUUAAAGUGUACAUGGCCUCAUCCAUACGACUAAAGCUUCUCGUCAAAAGCAUCAAUCAAUCAUAGGCAUUUAAUGCUAAUACUAUUUUGUUGCCCAUCAAUAAGCUUAAACUUGACUUCAUUGGCUAGAUAUAGUGGCAAUAGCAGUGACUUGUCACAUCAAUCACGUACUAGGGAUUGCAUAGAAGAUCUCUUACUACGCCCCCUUGAAGCCUCGCCCUCAUGAGGUUUUGAUUCUUCAUAUGGGCUUAACUCAGUCAAAUGGGCUCGAUAUCCCAUAUAGGUUUGGCCGCUUCACGGGGUUUGACCAAACUGUCUGUUAGGUAGAGUGACAUGAAUGCGGGUCCAAGUUCGCUUCCAUGUAGGAGGCGAGGCGUAACACCUACGUUAAAUUAUUUGAAAAAAGGAAAGGUUAAUAUAAAAACAUAAUAUCGGUAAGUUAAAUUUAUCUUUUAACCUACUCGCUAAAACUUAGAAUAAUUACGUUACUAGCUAGUGACAGUUUUAAAAAGGAACAGUGGGGUCACUAUGAUUUUAAAAUUUUAAUUUUGUGUAAGGAAAGACUUAUAUUUUGUAAAUUUGGCUCCACAUACCAUAUAAAAUAUAGCUUCAAAAUAAUAUUAAAACUACAUGUCUAGUGCAGUGGUAAAACCAUCAACUUUUCGAAUUCCAUGUGCCACAUUAUAUUUCUUUUGAGAAAUCUGUGCAAUUAGUCCUCACUUUUUAGGCUUUAGCAUCUCUAGGAGGCAACAAACAGAAGGUAGGAGUAAACACGAUUUGAUUUUGAUGGUUUUCAACUAUUUUAAAAUCAAAUCGUUUUAUUUUUCUAACUAAACUUGCUAAUGCUAGCAGGGCAUAAUGCUAUGUUCAUUACAAGUGUCACAUUAUUUUCAUUACCAUUUUAUUAUCGGUAGCUAUUACCUGAUUUAGACCAAUAAUAAUGUUAUUCUAAUGUAUGCAAGCUUAUUAUUUGUCAUGAUAUAUGAUCAUAUAGCUUGAUGGGCUCUCCACAUAUUACAGUUUAAAAAAGUUUGAUCUGUUAUUAUUUCACUUUUCGUCAUGAGAAUUUGAAGAGGUAGACGGGGCCCUAUUUAUUUUGUAUAUGUGCAGUGAAGAUAUUGUGUUGUAUUUCAGGUUGGUUUAGUCCACAUUACAAAUAGAUGUUGUCGAAAUUUUGUUGCAUCUUGGAAUGUAUUCAAGGUAAUUUAUAAGCCCUCAUCAAUUUGAAGUCGACUAUAUUUCUAAGACCAUUCGUAAGCUCAUACUUGUUAGGGAUGGGCUCGUAUAUUAGAGGCAAUUCGUAAAUCCUCACUUAUUUGGGAUCUACUCAAAUUCAUAAGGCAAUUGGUAAGUCAUCGUCUAAUUGAAGAUAACUCGCAUUUUUGUCCCACACCUAAAUGUACACCUCAGAUAUGGUAAACUAUUGGCAUAUCAAUAAAUUACAUGGCAUGCACGUGAUAAAGAGAGGUUAACAUUAGUUGACUAGGCCUCAACAAUGUUAAUUGGAUACAACCGAGUAAACCUAAGUAACCUCUUCUUGGGCUUGAGCCCGAUCCCUAACCCAUUUGGCCCUCUCUCUCUCCUCUCUCUCUGUGUGCGCGCAUCUGGACUUGAAGGCAUGUUCAUCUAAACAUUUGCCAAAUCCCAUCUUACACAUUUCUCUUGCACUCAUUCCAUGACCUGUUUUGAUAGUUGAUUUGACCUUCGAAUUGAAAUGGUUGUCAAGUUUUUUUUUAGGAUGGCUCCUUUACACCUUAAUGGUUCUUUUCCAAUGUGCAUGUAAUGCCUAUAUGGAAAAGGAUAUGGCCUGAAUUCUAUUAUCAGGCCAAAUUUUGAGGUCAGCAAAAUCAAACCAAAUCAUAUUUUGUGGUUUGAUUUGGUUUCAAAUCAUUGAUUUAGCGACACAAAAAUAAUAGCUUUCAAACAAGUGAAAAAAUUAAUAUAUUAAUUUCAAAUUUCACUAAAACACUUGCAUUGAAACCUUUCAAACAUAAAUGUUGGCAUCAACAAAUCCUGCCUCUACUUUUCUCCAAGCGUAUGUUACAUGGGCACUUGGAGCGCAUGCAGACAUGCAAGAAUACUCUCAAAACACAAAGGGAUAUGAGAGGUCACGAUCAUACGUACUUUGAUGCUCAAGUCAGUCAGAAUAAUGAGAUUAAAGUGUAUUGGGUAUGGAAACGACAUGUGGAGGAGAGAAUAUAAUUUAGAUUCGGAUUCGUAUUUUGUGAGAGGGAAGUUUGAAUAUUUAUAAAUGAGAGAAAUGAAUGAAGGCUUCCUGGAUGCUUGACGCAUGACUUCAUCCAAUAGCUUAUUGGUCAAGUUCUAUCACGUCACAAUGUCAUGUCCUAGGCACCAAUAGGUCUAUGACCCCGUAUGCUAUCUUACGUGGGUAAAAGUAAGUUUGCACUAAAUCACCAUUUUAAUUAUUUCUCACAUGACUCCAGAAGUAGAAUCACCAUUUACAUAAAGUUUGACCAUUGCCCUCCAUCGCUUCAGCGAUGAAGACCCAUGUUAUGUCAUAAGCAUUAUGAAUCCAAAGAUCACAUUGCAUUUAAUAAAUUGCAAAUUUCGAUUAUUCAUUUCUUGGAUUAUUCAAAUUCUCUUUGAAUUUAUUGGCAAUUGACAUCUAUAAAAAUAUAUGUUAAUUGAAAAUGUGGGGAAAAAAUAAAUAUAUUUUGAAAAAGUAAAAUAAAGAGCUUGUUUGAGUGUAUCGAAAGUCUUACUGUUGAAAUUUCAAAAUAUUUUCUAUUAUAUACGAGAUGCUUCUAUAAUUAAAUAAAAAAGACUAUUGAAGAGGUUCUUACAUGCAACAAACUUGACUCUUAAAACACAUUAAUAAACCGGGAUCAAUGUCCCAUAAACUUAACUAAAAAAUAUUAAGCCCCUGUUUGUUUCCCAUUAUUUACCCAUUAAAAUAAAAAAAUAUGAUAGUUAUCCAUCACAUCAAACCACCAUAUUUGAUGUUCCAUCUCUUGUGUAGGGCCCAUACGGCUAUAUUUUUCCUUCUCAUUUUUACAUUAAUGUGUAUCAAACGGGGCCUAAGUUUGUACCAGGGUAGCAUAAAUAACUAAAUAUUACAGAAAUUUUAUUUAUAUCACAACUGAACACAAGUCCCACUUAUUUAUUUUUAACUUGUUACACACACACACACACAUACAUACUUUACAUAUAUAUCUCACAAAGCUCUAGGGACAGGGCAGUGAGGGCCCUCAAGGUUGGGGUUCAACCUUUUUUUAUACUAUACAUAUAUAUAGGUAAAAAGUAGGUGGAAGGUGUAGUUUGGAGCUUAAUUAAGUUGAGAUGCAGUGUCAUAUGCAACUCCAGCCUUCCAAUCCGUAGGAAUGGCACGGGUUAAUUGUACCAAAUUAACUUCAUACGGGAUGGCAUAGUUAAUUCUAACGUGAAGAGAUCCGAUGGGUGGAUUUGAAAUGUCAAAUACCGUUCCAUACGCCCUACGCAUUGGACUCCAUUCGUCGCUAUCCUCCUUUGUUCAUUAUCAGAAACAAGUACAAUGUCAGUGAUCAUUGAUAAGAAUAUUUAGUUGUGCUUAAAAAUUACUUUUUUAGAAAUUACGUCUUCUGCUAGUCAAACAAGUAAUUUUGGAAACGUGUUUGACAAAAUAAGUAACUUAAAGGUAAGCCCCUAAUAGGUUUAGAUGAAAAUCAGAUUAUUAGUAGAUUUUUGAUACAAAUUGAUGCAAUAUGUAGUUAAAAAGUUUUAGGUUCCAUGAAAUAUGUGGUUAAAAUUAAUUGUUUUUUUUUACUAUUGUUUUAAUCUAAUUUUUCAGUUGAAUCAAGCAGGGACUAAGUCUGACCUACUUUUUAAUCUUUAAAUAACUUAUGGUACUUUAGUACUAAUGAAAUUCUGUAUGCUUACUUUUUAGCUUGUAAUAU